rnacentral:tRNA from 11 species
UGCAGAGGUAGGGUCGAACCACCGACCUUACAGUCGGUAAGUUUACGCCUUAGCCACUGAGCCAUCUCGAGC